rnacentral:lncRNA from 1 species
GGUCCCCUCUGGGGACCACCCCAAGAAAAGACCUGGAAACACAGACAGCUCUUGUGGCACCAGACUUCGUCUGCAAGCUGCUGUGUGUCCAGGGUGGGAGGCCGCUGUGGACGGCAGCACAUGGGCACACACACCCUGGAACGCACUUGAGCCAGGAGGAAGCCCCUCCACCAGGACAGAAGGAGGCCACUGGCCCCAGCAAGGGACAGCAGGAGGCUCUCAACCCCACGGCCUUGCUGGCUGGCUGUUCAGGCAUCCCCCUCCUUAGAAAGCAUCCCAUCUUCCUCUUGAGAGAAGAUCCCCAAACUUCAUCCUGUGACCACUGCUGACCCUUCCCCUGUCAAGCCCCCUUCAGGACGGGACCUCAUUCAGUCUUCACUCCGCCUCAGAGAACAUGUACCCUCACUGCAGGGUGAGGUGCUGCAGCUCUGAGACACAGCCACCUUCUCCGGGUCCACUGUGGGCGUGUGGGGCAUGUGCCUCAAUGCACCGGUCCACAAGAGCUGUGUCAUCGGGGUGACCUGAAGUAACCCAUGUAAGUCUGGGCUUCCAGGAGAUGUCACCCAACCCUGCCCCAGCACCUCCUAGAAGUGGGGAGUCCUUGAUGGCCAGGGAAAUGGGGCUGUGGGGCCAGCCCAGGCUGAAGACUCAAAGCUGGGGCCAGCCCACCCAGCCAAGCCGGCUGGCCAGAACCUGUGCCUUGGGCUGUCCAGGAAGGACCAUGCUGAGUGAGAGGAUACCUUGAG